rnacentral:rRNA from 1 species
UGUCGUCAGCUCGUGUCGUGAGAUGUUAGGUUAAGUCCUGCAACGAGCGCAACCCCUACUUUUAGUUGCUAACAUUAAGUUGAGCACUCUAAAGGGACUGCUAAGGUUAACUUAGAGGAAGGUGGGGAUGACGUCAAAUCAUCAUGCCCUUUAUGCCUUGGGCAACACACGUGCUACAAUGGUCGGUACAAAGAGAAGCAAUACCGCGAGGAGGAGCAAAUCUUAAAAACCGAUCCCAGUUCGGAUUGCAGGCUGCAACUCGCCUGCAUGAAGCCGGAGUUGCUAGUAAUCGUGAAUCAGCAUGUCGCGGUGAAUACGUUCCCGGGA